AACCCCGUCCACAUCAACAUCAAGUUUCCUCAGUAAUUCCGGUUUUUUCCAACAACAGUCAAUCAGUUCCAAUUCAGUAACAACAACAUCAACAACAUCAACAACAACUGCAACAAAGAACCAAUUACAACAACAAUAAUCACCAAUAAAAGUUUGAGAGGAAAAAGGUCUCCUUUGACCCUAUUCCUAUGACUUAUGCAGAACUAUACCCGUCAUUGGUCCUCAAAAAUCUGAUCCAAC
rnacentral:lncRNA from 1 species